rnacentral:tRNA from 1 species
GAGGGUAUAGCUCAAGUGGUAGAGCACAUGAUUAGCAUGCAUGACGUCCUGGGUUCAGACCCCAGUACCUCCG